rnacentral:rRNA from 1 species
UACGGAGGGUGCGAGCGUUGUCCGGAAUCAUUGGGCGUAAAGGGCGCGUAGGUGGCCCGGUCAGUCCGUGGUGAAAGCGCGGGGCUCAACCCUGCGUCGGCCAUGGAUACUGCCGCGGCUCGAGCACUGUAGAGGCAGGCGGAAUUCCGGGUGUAGCGGUGGAAUGCGUAGAGAUCCGGAAGAACACCGGUGGCGAAGGCGGCCUGCUGGGCAGUUUAGCUGACACUGAGGCGCGACAGCGUGGGGAGCGAACCGG